UUCCUCCCUGCUUCCCUCCCCUCCUCUUCUGCACCUUCUUCUUGAGUCUGAGUCCCCUCUCUACCCGCCCUGGCAUCCAGCCUGUCUGAGGGACACCAGGGAGAGGAACCCCAUCCACACUCACUCCAGUUCUUCCAACAAGGAGGAAAUCGACUUUAAAAACAAGUUGAAAUUUGUUCUAGCGAGUUCCACGACAGUAGAACGCACUGGGACCCAUCGUACACAAGUGGAGGGUCAUCGACUUUCUAAAUGCUGGGAGGAGCCUCACCUCCCUCGUCUCUCAUGUUCCCCCGUGGCCCCCCAAAGCCUCCCUUCCACACAAGUGCCCCCCAGUCAUCUGAAGAGAGCUCAGAUUCCUAACAGUCUCUCUUUCUCUCUGAAUGAAAAUAAAAAGAGCAUUCCUCGCUCUUUCUGCCUACUUCCUAUUCCGUGGUCUUGGCCGAGUGAAGGGGGUGAUCCCACCCGUGGGGACCAGGCUUGGUAUACCACCUCCUUUCUCCUGAAUCAUGUACCUUUGUUGAUGCCACCCAAGGUAACACAGUCUUUUAACAUUUUUGAUUUUCAGUUUUUUUAUAGCUUUAUAGCGCCAGCUCAACUUCAGCUUAGCGUUGACUAAACUGAUGAAUCGGGGGCUGACAAGCGAAACACUUGUCAGAAGCCAGACAGGAAAGGCAGAUGAGCAGAGUGGGCUGGGUGAGGCUUGUUGUCACAUGAAGAGUUCACGCUCUCUGCAGUGGGCAGCUCUCGGCUCCAGCAGCUGCCGCCACGCAGGGUGCAGGCUCGGCAUUCCGUGUUCGACGUCUCCACCUGAAGAUCAGGAUUCACGACGUCUUGGAGAAAGUCGGCCACAGAGCCGCCAAGCUUGCGCUCUGUUGCAGCGCGGCCGAGGCCGAGCUGUGGCUGCCGCGUCCCCGGUGCAGAAGCAGCCGAGUGGACACUGGGCCUCCUUCCUGUGACAACGCUGACCUAAUCUGUGGGCAGAUGGGGAGGAUGCAUCGUAAGCCCUGGACCCUGGGUCCGUGGCCUGAUGGACGUGAGGCGGAGGGGCUCAGUGUGGGAUGCCGUGGGGCCUCAGCCUCCUGCAUCCUGUAACGGGGACUUUGCAAACUUGUGACUGUGUAGACAUAAGUGCAUCAGGUACAGAGUGGAAGAGAAUCAGGAUCAAGUGAGGUUAAACUGGGGCUGUUGGGUUAGAGAGGUCAGGGCCUGGACGGAGGGUCAGUCAGGGGAGGGGGAGGGGGAGGGUGGA
rnacentral:lncRNA from 1 species